ensembl:lncRNA
GCCAGUGAGCAUCCACAGGUUUCUGUAUUGUUUGCUUACAGAAGCCUUGAGGGGCUGGAACUCAGUAUAGCCACUGAAAGCCGGCUGUAGGGGCUGUUGAAGAUGGUUGUGUUGGAGAUGAGCCCACAGUAGUCUGGAGUCAAGGCACUGAAUCCUUGUUAACAUACUCCAUGGCCCACCAGGGGGCCCUUGCCCCAUCUUAGAAGACAACUGAGACAUUUUUCUAUGGCAGAAGCCUGACUGAUCCUUCCCUGUUCCUUCCUUCUUUGCUCUCCUGUGCAGGAAAACCAACACGAUAUGCCUUGGGAAACAGUUGAUCUUGCACAUGGAACACCUGCAGGGGACCUGGAAAGGGAGGAAGGAGGUUUGUUCCAUAAAAGAAACAAAGCCAAAGGUGUAUUUGGCACUGCCAGUGCUGUGGGAAGAAGGCUGGAAGAGGAAGAAUCUUGGACCUGACGCCAUUUGGGCUUCUCCUCCCCAGAAAGAAAGGCCUCAGGAACUGGAGAGAUGAGCUCCAGACUGUGGUUGGGAGAACCCUGGAGGUUUUCUG